UUCCCACCGUUGUUCGAGAUUCGUCCAUUACGCUAACUUAUACGUGACGUCGCGAGUGUCGUGCGGUUCGUGGCGUCGUGCACAAUCGUGAUUCUUUCGCGGUUACACCGCCAUCGCGGCGCGGUAAAGCGCGCGCGUCGGGUGCGAUUAAUGCCGGGAGUGUCGCGCGAUCGUCGUACUCCGGUGAUCACUGCGCGUAGGGUCGUAAUUAACCCGCGCUGUCGCGAGUGUUGUGCGAGCGCCAUGGAAGAGCCAGGCACCGCGGAGGAACGCGAGAGGAGCAGGGAGGCAACGACGGAGCAACCGUGGGAUCAACUCUUUGUAUGACAACUCCGACACUGCGCAUCAUAUCGGUACCUGUUAAUUGGGAAACACAAACACGUCACAGA